UACGGAGGGGGCGAGCGUUGUCCGAAUUUAUUGGGCGUAAAGCGCGUGUAGGCGGAUCGUCAAGCCUGGGGUGAAAGGUCGGGGCUCAACCCCGUACAGUGCCCUGGGGACUGGCGGUCUGGAGGCAGGCAGAGGAGCGUAGAAUUCCUGGUGUAGCGGUGGAAUGCGUAGAGAUCAGGAAGAAUACCCGUGGCGAAGGCGGCGCUCUGGGCCUGUACUGACGCUGAGACGCGAAAGCGUGGGGAGCGAACGGGAUUAGAUACCCCGGUAGUCCACGCCGUAAACGAUGGAUGCUCGGUGUCGGGGGUAUCGACCCCCUCGGCGCCUUAGGUAACCCGGUAAGCAUCCCGCCUGGGGAGUACGGCCGCAAGGUUGAA
rnacentral:rRNA from 1 species